CCUCACACUGUAUAUCAGAGGGUUUAACAUGGGAGUAAUGAUUAAGUACAGAAUAGAAAAUGUCAUUUCAAAGACCCGAGGAUCUUUUAAUGGUGGUGUUAGAUAUGAGGAAGUCCAAGUGCCAUAGAACAUGGUGAGGACUAUGAGGUGGGACGAGCAGGUGUGGAAAGCCUUUCUUCUUCCUUCACUAGACUUAAUAUGUAAAAUUACAAUAAUGACUUUAAUAUAAGAUAUUAUACUGCACAAAAAAGGGCAGAGGCCGAACAUUACAGCUUCCAUGUAGGAAAAUAGCUGGAAACUAGCAUUGGGGCAGGAAAUUUUGGCAAAAGCUUUGAAUUCACAGUAGAACUGUGGAAUCGUGUUGGAAUAACACACCUUUAUAUUAGAUGCAGUCAAUGUCAAAAAAAUUGAAUUGAAAAAUCCAGUGGCCCAGACAACUACCAAGAACAGGACACAUUUCUUCUUACUCAACAUGCGAUGAUAAUGUAAAGGGUUACAGAUGGCGACAUAUCGAUCAUAAGCCAUGACGAAGAGCAAGAGGUCCUCUACAGUAGCCACAUGGCUGAAGAAGUACAUCUGGGUGAAGCAUUGAGUGAACGACAAGGUGCCUACCUCCUUAAUAGGGUAACCUGGACCACGGUGCUAUUUCCUCUUCUACUAAGGUACAGAGCGUAGUGAAGUCAAAGUAACAAACAAAAACAGCCCGGAAGUCAGAGAGAUGGUCAGGGCACAAAAGGGUUAGCCAACAAGAGCACAGCAAAAAGACAGACGAGGAAAGUACAUACAAACCUAUAAUCACAGUCAAACAAGUCAAGUUGGUAAUGGAGAGAACGUUGCAGAACAGAUACAGUAAGAAAUAGUGGAGUCAAAGAACAAACCAAGAAAAUAUAGAGAUACACAGGAUAUAGCAAAUACCAGAGACAGGGACAAGGAAGAAUCCUUUAUCUCAGAUAUCUGCCCAAUCAGGAUCAUCUUACCUCUGAGUGUAAUUUGUUUUGGUUGAACUGAACUUAUCCCAUACGAUAAAAAUGUGGUCUAUAUAUAUUGUGUAGUGAACACCCAGCCCAGGUGCUAUGGGAUCAGCUGCUGGGACAAGAACCAACAAUUGGUCAAUUAAAAUGUUGUCCCUAAUGUCCUCUAUAAUUGUAAGAGAAGCUUGAGCUGUGUUUGUUUGUUAUGGAAAAAAUCUCUCCACUUUUCCCAAUGUAUAAUUUGCACCAUAAAAUGCACUGCGUAAAAGC